AUUCAGGGAGGUAGUGACAAUAAAUACUGAUACGGGGCUCUUUUGGGUCUCGUAAUUGGAAUGAGAACAAUUUAAAUCCCUUAACGAGGAACAAUUGGAGGGCAAGUCUGGUGCCAGCAGCCGCGGUAAUUCCAGCUCCAAUAGCGUAUAUUAAAGUUGUUGCAGUUAAAAAGCUCGUAGUUGAACCUUGGGUCUGGCUGGCCGGUCCGCCUCACCGCGAGUACUGGUCCGGCUGGACCUUUCCUUCUGGGGAACCCCAUGGCCUUCACUGGCUGUGGGGGGAACCAGGACUUUUACUGUGAAAAAAUUAGAGUGUUCAAAGCAGGCCUUUGCUCGAAUACAUUAGCAUGGAAUAAUAGAAUAGGACGUGUGGUUCUAUUUUGUUGGUUUCUAGGACCGCCGUAAUGAUUAAUAGGGAUAGUCGGGGGCGUCAGUAUUCAGCUGUCAGAGGUGAAAUUCUUGGAUUUGCUGAAGACUAACUCCUGCGCAAGCAUUCGCCAAGGAUGUUUUCAUUAAUCAGGGAACGAAAGUUAGGGGAUCGAAGACGAUCAGAUACCGUCGUAGUCUUAACCAUAAACUAUGCCGACUAGGGAUCGGACGGGAUUCUAUAAUGACCCGUUCGGCACCUUACGAGAAAUCAAAGUUUUUGGGUUCUGGGGGGAGUAUGGUCGCAAGGCUGAAACUUAAAGGAAUUGACGGAAGGGCACCACCAGGAGUGGAGCCUGCGGCUUAAUUUGACUCAACACGGGGAAACUCACCAGGUCCAGACACAAUAAGGAUUGACAGAUUGAGAGCUCUUUCUUGAUUUUGUGGGUGGUGGUGCAUGGCCGUUCUUAGUUGGUGGAGUGAUUUGUCUGCUUAAUUGCGAUAACGAACGAGACCUUAACCUACUAAAUAGUGGUGCUAGCAUUUGCUGGUUAUCCACUUCUUAGAGGGACUAUCGGUUUCAAGCCGAUGGAAGUUUGAGGCAAUAACAGGUCUGUGAUGCCCUUAGACGUUCUGGGCCGCACGCGCGCUACACUGACGGAGCCAGCGAGUCUAACCUUGGCCGAGAGGUCUUGGUAAUCUUGUGAAACUCCGUCGUGCUGGGGAUAGAGCAUUGUAAUUAUUGCUCUUCAACGAGGAAUUCCUAGUAAGCGCAAGUCAUCAGCUUGCGUUGAUUACGUCCCUGCCCUUUGUACACACCGCCCGUCGCUAGUACCGAUUGAAUGGCUUAGUGAGGCCUCAGGAUCUGCUUAGAGAAGGGGGCAACUCCAUCUCAGAGCGGAGAAUUUGGACAAACUUGGUCAUUUAGAGGAACUAAAAGUCGUAACAAGGUUUCCGUAGGUGAACCUGCGGAAG
rnacentral:rRNA from 1 species